rnacentral:tRNA from 1 species
GGCUUCUUGGUCUAGGGGUAUGAUUCUCGCUUUGGGUGCGAGAGGUCCCGGGUUCAAUUCCCGGAGGAGCCC